CCAUUUUCAUCCUCAGUUCUUCAAUUUUCUGAAGGAUUUUAUUGCGCAGGCCUAGAGACUCUGAAAAGUUGUAUGUACAUGAAGUGAAAACACUGCAAUGUCAGGCAAAGAGGUCACGUCUUGCACUUGGUGGCUGUUGUGCCACAGGAGACACAGCUUUUCCCCACCCCCCCAUAUGGGAAAGUCCGCAGACACCCAGGCACCCUACAACCAGCUUAACAGCAGCCUGCUGCUGGCCUGCAACAAUUCUGUGGAGCAAUGAAAACAAACGGUAGAACAAAUGCAAAUGCAACACUGCUGCAAAUCCACAUCUACCUGGCAGAACAGUAUCUUUGCUGAUGCAUAGUAUGAUCACAUAUUCACCUUUAUUAUAAGUGAUAGCCUUGAGUGCCGAUUUAUGAAAUGAAAGCAUGCAGCACCAAGAAUAAAACCACAUAUCAGCCGUAGGUGUUCCAUUCUUUAUUUUCAUAAACAGUUUGAUUGUGUGUCUGCAAAAUUACCCUUCUAACAACCCCUUUGUUCCCAGAUAUUCUGUCAGUCUCCUAGCUAAGCUCAUUUCUGCUGCAUGACAAGUAUCGUACCCGUUCACUGCUUAGCUGUCUUUCGCCCACUGUACCAUGCCAGAAUGAGCGUUUACUUUCCAAAGGUACCAGAUAAAAAAACAUCAUCAACAAAACACCUUGUCAGAAGAGCCCUGAAAAAAAAUUGUCAAAAAAAAAUAUCUUAAAAUAACUUUUAACGUUACUUGUAGAAAAAAUAUUUUAGAAUAUCAACACAGCUUUAAACGGUUAAAACAUUUAAACUGAUAAUAAAUAUUGUUUUAAAUUUAACACAAGUCAUAUAAUGGCAAGAUCCAAAAUAAAAGUAGCCAUCACAGUGUAAAGAAUGAAUUAGAAGCCACAAAUGAUAGUCAUCUCUCUAAAUGCCUGAUGUGCUGCAGAACAACACUAUUGGUAAAGUGACUAUGUUUGCAGGGAUUAAAAAAAUAAUUACAGAUUAAAAAAACGAAUACAAUUAACUUACAUGAACUGAUUGCUUUUUUCCUGAGUUCACAAGACUGGUGUGCUCUUGCAGUCAAGCUAAAUGUAAGUAUAUACAAUUUCAGAACUAUAAUCUAUAGGACUUUCUUUAGCCUUCGGUUUAGCUUUUGUCAUAAAAAGUCAUUUACAUCUCUCCAUUACAAUACCCUAAACCUGCUGUACAAGUGUUGUCCUAUGUCUUACAAAGGGACAACUGAAGAAUGCCUGAGCUUGUGUUUAAGAUUUUUUUUUAAUUACAUUGCAGCUUUUCCCAUCUCUCUCUAAUCUAAAAAUACAACUAAAAGCACAAUUACAGUUAUGCUGCCUUGUUUUCUUUCAGACUGAUUAGUUCAAAGGGAUUCAUUUGUGAAUGAACAGAUAGAAUAACGACACAUCAGUGUCUCUAGUCAGCAUUAUCUGAUUAGCCUCAGCUGGUGAUUGGUGCAACAUAAUUUUAAGUUACUCCAAUGUUAAGGAAAAUGUAUACAGAAACGUAGAGCUGUGUGUCUUUCAUGGGUGUCAAUUCAUGACAGAUUCCCAGAAUCUCUGUUGAUUUCUCUGAUUUAACAAGGCUUGUUGAUGCACAGAAAUACUAUGAUCAGAUACAUACCAACACCAUGCACAUGCACACACAAAACAAUUAAUAAAGGACGGGAGCAGUCUGCCUACGAGGAAGAAUGCUAACUUCUAAAAAUAAAAAUGUAUUUUUAAAAAUG